ACACUGUUGCUUGUUGCUACCACUGGCAACCAACAUAGUUGUGCACAGGGAACUAGAUUGUACUUACACUGUGAAGUAUAAUUUGUGGUUUAAAAUCAUAGACUUCUAUAGUAAAUGAGAGUCUCAGACCACAGAUUUUUAAACGUCUGGACUUAAUUUGUAUUCAGGCCCUCAUUCUACCAGUCACAGUAAUUUGUGGUUUCCCCUUUUCUGUUUCUCUGGGAUGAUGUCCAAUUUCUGAGGGCAAGCACUGAUUAGAUUUGGGGUCCUGUGUCAUCAAUCCAGGAAGACAGGUGAAGAGUCAUGCCCCAGUGUCACCCUCAAUGCCCCUCCAGAGCCAGGGUCUCCUGCUGCUUCUGGCCCACUCCAGACCACAGGAGAGUUAGGCCAUCCUACACCAACAGCUCCUAGAAAUCCUCUGUACUCUUCCUAACUGCGUUGGAGUACGGCCUUCUCCAAGCAAGACCUCUCCACACAUCCCCUAAGCCUUCAAUGUUCAUGGCCGAUCAAGGGGCAUAUCAUUUGGCGGGAAAAUGGCAUUUCAGUGGCUGGAUCUGGUGGUGCUGGAGCCAUUUCUCUCUACAGAAAGAGGUUCGAUACUUAGAGGACCCCUUAGUCCGAAUCAGCAGGUGUAAGCCUCAUUCUUCGCUUUUCAGGUGUUCUUCUGCUGUCCAGAAAAUCGAAUCUACAAGAAAGUACAACAAGCCUGCAUUCUUUCCCUUUCCCUCUGUUUCGGGAUGACCAAUCUUACAGAAUUUUGUUGCAGUUCUUCAGUCACAGCUUCAUCGUUGUCUGUGAUUUUGCAAGCUGGCCAUGACGUCUGAAUCUGAUUAUUCCACCCUGGGUUACAGCCACUGCUUCCAGGGCACUUGGCUCUAUUUGUAGGACUUUUUAUCAAUUCAUGACUGUCUGCGUAUUCCUGGAGAUUCUAGAUAAGCCUUCCCAUAUUCUGGGCUCAAAUUUUGACUUACAAAUCGGGUGCCUAAAAAAUGUAACUUAUGUUCCAAAAUUUCAUGUCUAAUUUGAGGCACCAUUCCAUCAGGGUGAUAGACAUUUCAUAUGAAUUUAGGGUUCUUCCUUCCUCACUUUCCUAGGGCAGCAUUUAAGUUCUGUGGGCACAUGGCAACAAGGCACAGAGGGAAGGAUGCUGCAGGAGUAGGUCUCAGCAUCACUGACAGCCGGCUGAGAGGUCCGGAGACCUCUGGUCUUUGGUCAAGUCUGUAGUUGGACAUGUGGACUGUUCCCAUUCCAUGUAUGUCUGUGACGAUCUAAGGCGGUUUUCACUUACAAAAGAACAUUCAUGGCUUUAAUGUUCCAGGAACAUGGAUUACAAAUACAGAAAAAAUCAUUAAAGAGGUUGCUUAGGUUAGUGGAUCAGACUUGGAAUAGGAAAAGAAGUAUUGUUCCGGAAGCUUCUGCCAUAGCGUAGUAAUAUGCUCGGAGGAGCCCUGUGUGAGCUUAUUUUUUGCUCCCAAGAUGAGGAAGAUUGUAGAUAUAAAUAGUUUAUUUUCAGGAAAGGACCCUCAAAGGAAACUUUCAUCAUUUAACCACUCUUCAGUUGCUCCAAGAAGAUAAAAGUACAACCUCCAAACCUUGAAAAUCAGGUCAAAUCUUCCUAAACCCUGGAGUUGUGGGGAUGCAGAAGAAGCAGGACGCCCAUGAGACAGGUGUUAUUAUUCCUGCUUUCAGAUCACCGACCGAUGGUCCGAGGUGGGAUUUCCAUGGAAAACGUAAUGAAAAUAUGACUCGUCUUCCUGCUUCGUUCUUCCCUGGUCUCAGAGUCGGAGGGAGGCUGUAUGGAGGAAGUUGAGACCGCAAGAAAGGCUCCCGCCUGUGUUUUCUCCUUGCUCCUUCUGCGACUUGCCGAAUCUGGUGCUUCCACACGUGGCCUUGCACAGCGUGACUGCCCUCUCCUCUUGGGAACAGCGAAAUGCAUUCUCUCUGGUAACAAAUGAAGAUGGAGUGGCGAGGCUUGCUGUGAAGGGAACACGAGCCGUCACCAGGGCAGGAAAGGUCAGUCGUGGGUUGCCAUGGAAGUUUCGGCAACGGCUGCACCACCGAAGGCUAUUUCAAAGAAAUGGUUGUAAAACGUGACCAAAGCCCCUGCAAGCCAGAGUGCAUCACAGAUUGGCACAAAUGUUUAUGGAGGCCAAAGGUUUGGAUACCUGUUUGAGGCCAAGAUAGAGAAAAAGAGGCUGAGUUGGAAAACCUUGUGACCUGGAGGGAGAGAACGGGCUCCAGAGGAAGGGCAUUAGGCCAAGUGUGAAAAAGAAAUGAAAACAUGAAGAGUCUGUUAAUGAAUGUGAGAUGCUGGAAUAAAGGAGUCUUUGCUCUUCAGCUAUGUGGCAUUGAUCCCACUAAUGGUUUGGCUUCUGAGGAGAGAAAAUCUUUGAUCCGCUCAGCCCCUGUCUACUCGAUGAUAAUGGGAUGAAAAUAAUGCAUAUAAAACAAUUAAUAUACUAUUAAUAAGUUACCCCUUCCUGGGAACAUAGUGCCUUCAGCCAAUGAACAUGCUCCAGAUCAGGUGCCUUGACCAUCCAUAGGGAAGUUGGGGGAAGCGAAACCAAUAAUAACAGUGUAGGACCCAGGCCUCCUGAACCAGCAUGGACCCUGUCACCCCUGUGGCUUUUCUGAAGAUGCAACCCAAAAUCCUUGAGGAGGAGUGCAGGAACCGCAGUGGGCAGAAGGACCGCAUUUCACGGAAAUACUGGUCCAGCAACGCGUCACCCUUCCCGGCCACCCGCCGCCCGUGGAGCCGUGCUGAGCCGUGACCGUGGAACACGGGCAGCCCGAUGCUGAGGACCACCAGUGAUGUGGAAAAGUGGGGACGAGCUAAUGAAAACGGAAGAGGAUGUUGAAACAUUGCUGUCUUCAUGUUCAACUCUGGGGCCAUUGGAGACUUGGGCCUCAGAGAAGUGGGAGAAGGAGGCGCCUUCAGGAUUCACGUCCACCAUCAUCUCCUGAAGAUGACGAGGGGAUGAGGAGUGAAGGGCCUGCUUUCAUAUCCAGCUGGGAUGUGACCGGCUUCCAGCCUGGAGCUCUGAGCAUCCCGCAGGCUCUCAAGGCAUCGCAACAGAUGUGCAGGGAACACAGCGGAUACCAAGCCCACAGGCCUGCCCCUUCCCAAACUCCUGCCUCACGGAGCUUUGUAGAGGAGAUCAUCACCACAGAAUUGAAGAUACAGUCAGGGUUUAAUUAAGCUUGGACUUGAGGCUUCAAGUUGUUUGAAAACUUGAGAUUUACAACAAAACGACCCAAGUAACCUAUAUAACCAGUGAAACAGCCGGGCAUUCACAGCAGUCUGUGCUGAACUUGGACUGGACCUGGAAACCCAGACAACCCUUGCAAAGCCUUCCAAAGCCUUAUCAUCUUCCAGAACGCCUUACGCACAGAAAAUAAAUAAAAAUGUAGUUCCGUAUAACACCGCAAGAAAACUUUUGCAAAGGCAACUCUUCAUCAGCCACGUGUGGGCUGAGAGGAAGGUUUGGAAUUCUGAGGAUUCCCAGACUUGGAGUGAAUCCACACCCACGUACCACAUCCUUCUCAUGGGACCUUCACUGGGUGCAUGGUAGCAGCACCAAGGCAGGAAAGGAGUCCGCUGAGGACACAGACAUGCAAGCAAACACCUGUAGUAGAAAUUGGAAGUGUGACCUUCACCUGGGGAAACUUGGAGAAGAAGCUGGCAACUGUGGUGGGACCUACAGGAUGAGUGGGCACGAGUGUGUCAUCUGCUGGAUUUGGCCGUAAUGAGUAAAGCUGAGGUGGAUAUUCACACACAAGUCUGUAAGCACGUCCCCUGGAAGCACGUAGAAGUGUGAUCCUGGACAGCACAGACAUGUGAAUCCCGGCUCUGGGGGAAACAGCAUCGUAUGUUGGACGGUGAUUCAGCACAGUCAGUCUUCUGGAGAACUUUGCCCCACCCUGCAAGAUAUCAGCCGUCUGGCUUGUGCUGUAAUUGAGUCUUCAAAAUGCCAUUCCAUCUUUCUGUCAAGCCAGCUGCUUCAGGAUGGUGGGGAACAUAGUAAGACCAGUGAAUUCCACGGGCGUGGGCCCGUUGCCAUGCUUUGUCUUCUGCGAAGUGAGUUCCUUGACCAGAAGCAGUGCCGUGUGGUGUACCAUGACAGUGGAUAAGGCAUUCUGGUUGGUAGUUUUGUCAGAAGCACUGCAUGGGGAAGGUACACCUGUAUCCAGAUUAAAGGUCUAUUCCGGUAAGGACAAAGCACAUCCUCUUCCAGGAUGGAAGUGGUCCAGUGCGGUCAACCUGCUGACUGAUGACCCCAGGGAAUGGUGCCAUAUUAAUGGCUCAGUGUUGGUCUCUGUGCUGGCAGACUGGACACUCAGUGAUUAAUGAUUAAUCACAUCUACAAAAUACCUUCACAGAAACACUGCGGAAGGGGAUGGAAGUGGGUUUUGUUCUUCAGGGAUAAAUGAAAUAAUGGAGUUGAUGAUUUAUCAUCUAUCACCUAUGUAUUAAUGAGCCAUUUGAGAAGUCUGUUCUUAGCGAUGCAGGCACUGACUCACCAGUGGAAUCACAAAAGGGAGUUCAAGGCUUGGGUGUGCAAAGUGAGUGUUCAUCUGUGUCUGGGAACACAGUGGAGUAACUUACAUGGAAAACCUUCACCACCCAGAAAUACUGGUUACAAUGGACCAUGUAUUUUCUAAAAAACACAGGGAGUUGAGCCAUUCAAUAAGCAUGUUACUAAACACCAUCUGGGGAUGGAGUGACGAACCCAGUGUGGUUCUGCCUGAAGAAAUAUAUGGAAUAAAUGAACACCUCAGUCCGGUCAGAGUGGCCAUCAUCAAAAAAACUACAAAUAAUAAAUGCUGGAGAGGGUGUGGAGAAAAGGGAACCCUCCUUACACUGUUGGUGGGAAUGUGAAU